rnacentral:rRNA from 1 species
GACGGAGGAUGCAAGCGUUAUCCGGAAUUAUUGGGCGUAAAGCGUCCGCAGGUGGCUGUUCAAGUCUGCUGUCAAAGCGCAGAGCUUAACUCUGUACAGGCGGUGGAAACUGAAGCGCUAGAGUGCGGUAGGGGUAGAGGGAAUUCCCGGGGUAGCGGUGAAAUGCGUAGAGAUCGGGAAGAACAUCGGUGGCGAAAGCGCUCUACUGGACCGCAACUGACACUAAGGGACGAAAGCUAGGGGAGCGAAUGGG